UCGGGCCAUUCUCGGCUGACUCUAAAAUUGCACGCAAAAGACUUGGAUGGAAAGAAUAUGAAAGAUGAUACUAGAUGUGGUCCCAAUCCAGCAGUGGGUUGUGCAUGCCCAGACUCCGGUGCCUCUGUAGAGCCUGAUUUUCUAAGGGUAUGUCUACACUAACCGCCGGAUCGGUGGGCAGAGAUCAAUCUAGUGGGGGUUGAGUUAUCACGUCUAGUCUAGACACGAUAAAUCAACCCCCGAGCGCUCUCCUGUCGACUCCUGUACUCCGGCACCGCGAGAGGCGCAGGCGGAGUCGACGGGGGAGCGGCAGCAGUCGACUCACCGCAGUGAAGACGCCAAGGUGUUUGCAAAUUGAAUGCCUGAUUAUUUGCUCCAUUAUCUUUCCGGGUACCGAAGAUCAUACCAUCUGACCGACCUGCUGAUCGUUUAUCUGCUGGCAGAUUCCUCUUCCUCAGCAUCCAUAAGCUGAC